rnacentral:lncRNA from 10 species
GUCCUCCAAUCAUGAAGCAGACUCCGACUUCUGCUAACAACCUGAAUACACUUCAAAGAGGAUUCUGAGCUCCAGCCGCCUACACAUUGAUUUCAGCUGUUGGGACCCUCAGCCGAGAACCCAGCUAUGCCGUGCCCAGAUGUAAGACCUACACAUCUGUGAGCUUGGGAAAUCUGGACACAGAGACAAACAUGCACAGAAGGAAGACUAUAUAAAGAGACACAAGGAGAAGACUGCCACCUACAAG